rnacentral:rRNA from 1 species
GAGUUUGAUCGUGGCUCAGGACGAACGCUGGCGGCGUGCUUAACACAUGCAAGUCGAGCGGAAAGGCCCUUUCGGGGGUACUCGAGCGGCGAACGGGUGAGUAACACGUGAGUAACCUGCCCUGGACUUUGGGAUAACCCUCGGAAACGGGGGCUAAUACCGGAUACGACCUGGUCUUGCAUGAGAUCCGGGUGGAAAGUUUUUCGGUCUGGGAUGGGCUCGCGGCCUAUCAGCUUGUUGGUGGGGUGAUGGCCUACCAAGGCGACGACGGGUAGCCGGCCUGAGAGGGCGACCGGCCACACUGGGACUGAGACACGGCCCAGACUCCUACGGGAGGCAGCAGUGGGGAAUAUUGCACAAUGGGCGGAAGCCUGAUGCAGCGACGCCGCGUGAGGGAUGACGGCCUCGGUU